rnacentral:misc_RNA from 1 species
CUAAAGUUCAAACCUGUAGCUAAAUUUACUUAAACCAGCCUUCACCAUUAAAAUCAAUACCCCUCUCAAAUGCAUCAUCAGCUAUGAGUAAAAGAUAUCAAUCAACAUAGGUGGGUCAAACCUAUAUAUCAAAGCCUCUAGAUCCCCUUGCGGGUGAAGUGCUUUCACAGAACUUGGAUAGACCAGAAUGGAUAAUCAGGUCAAACAUCAAAUCCUAAAGCAUUAUCAAGUUUUUAAAAACAUUUAAACGUGACCAAAAACCUUACCAAUAAUUUUAUCCAGUGAAUAUUAGUUAAGACACUGUCCACAGCAACAUCAUACUGCAUAGACAAUCAUACUGAUAAAGUCAGCAAACUGCUGCAACCAGCAUCAAAGUCACGAUCACCCAUCUAUCACAUAGAAACAGCAUCAACAGCCACAAAAUCAACAUCCGCCAAUCAGGCGCCAGUCACUCUUACCCCGAACAUAACAAAACUAGAACUUAUAGUCUGAUAACAUUUUUAAUCAACAAGUCCUCUAAGCAUUCAUUCCUGCACUGCUCAGUACUGUCCACAUUUCUCCUUCUCCCAUGUAUUCACUUAUCAACAUCUGAAUUUUGUGGAGAUGGGCUUCGUGAAUCAGCAGGUCGACCUCGUGGUGAAACACUCCUAGAAGUUGGAGACCUUCCACCACCAUUACCAUUUCUUUCAGGACUUUCACCUCUGGGAGAUGGACUCCUUCGAGGAGAGAGGCUCCUUCGAGGAAAUGGACUCCUCCUUGGACUAGGGCUUCGUCUACCAGGAGAACCACUAUCCAUCGAACGACUACGGCCACGACUUCGGCUUCGGCUUCGGCUCCGACUUCUACGCUCAUCAUCAUAGCGUCCUCUUCCCCUCCCCUUGGAGUAAUCAGGACUAGGUCGCCUAGGACUGAUGCUCCGGCUUCGCCUGCGAUAGUCUCUUUCCCUCUCCCUUUCUCUUCCACGCCUAUCACGAUCACUCCUGUCCAAGCUUCUGCUUCUACUUCGGCUUCGACUUCUCCUCCUAUAGUCCCUAUCUCUGUAAUCAUCCCGAUGUCGUCUCCGUGGACUGCGACUUCUAGACCUGUAUCUUGACUUUGGAAAUGCUUCACUGAUCUUUCCUUUGUGAAUCCUUUCUGCAUUUGGACCAUAUUUUGCAAACUGAACAGUUAUCUCCCGUCCAUCAACCACAGUGCCAUCUAGCCUCUCCACUGCUUUCUGAGCCUCAUCUGCAUACUUGUAUCGCACAAAUGCAAAACCUCUGGAAUCACCAGUCCUUCGAUCUCUGGG